rnacentral:rRNA from 1 species
AUGCACGCUAGCGAUAGGCUUAACACAUGCAAGUCGAGGGGCAGCAUGGUCUUAGCUUGCUAAGGCUGAUGGCGACCGGCGCACGGGUGCGUAACGCGUAUGCAACUUGCCUCACAGAGGGGGAUAACCCGUCGAAAGACGGACUAAUACCGCGUACACUCUAUGUUGGGCAUCCAAUGUAGAGGAAAUGAAAUUCGCUGUGAGAUAGGCAUGCGUCCCAUUAGCUAGUUGGUGAGGUAACGGCUCACCAAGGCGACGAUGGGUAGGGGAACUGAGAGGUUGAACCCCCACACUGGUACUGAGACACGGACCAGACUCCUACGGGAGGCAGCAGUGAGGAAUAUUGGUCAAUGGGCGAGAGCCUGAACCAGCCAAGUCGCGUGAAGGAUGACUGUCUUAUGGAUUGUAAACUUCUUUUAGACGGGAAUAACAAGAGUCACGUGUGGCUCCCUGCAUGUACCGUAUGAAUAAGCAUCGGCUAACUCCGUG